rnacentral:rRNA from 1 species
UACGGGGGGAGCAAGCGUUGUUCGGAUUUACUGGGCGUAAAGGGCGCGUAGGCGGCCACCGCAGGUCAGUUGUGAAAUCUCUGGGCUUAACCCAGAAAGGUCAACUGAUACUGCGGGGCUAGAGUGCAGAAGGGGCAACUGGAAUUCUCGGUGUAGCGGUGAAAUGCGUAGAUAUCGAGAGGAACACCUGCGGCGAAGGCGGGUUGCUGGGCUGACACUGACGCUGAAGCGCGAAAGCCAGGGGAGCAAACGGG